UAGAAAAUGGUACCAUUAGAUUUACGCCAAGAGAUGAAAUAUGGUAAAAAAGAGAAAGUUAAUGUGAAAUGAUGAGAUAUGACGACCGACAGAUGUACGAUGUGAUGCGACGGCAGCGUAAAAACUGAAGGCACGCCACCCAAACAACGACGGAACACCACCUAAACGACAGUGGCUUACCGACCAACUGACAGUGCAUGCCACCCGAAGGUGGCACAUGGCACCCAAGGGGGUAGUGCGUUGUGCUUGUGGCAGCGCUUGCCGCCCCAGCCUGCCACACACUGCACACCUAGCCCACCACGCGCGUAGGUGUACUACGUGCAAGCCUACUGCACGCAAGCCGAUCGCACAGACUACGCGCGCACGGAGCUACGCACGCCCCUACAUGCGAUGGGACAUGCUCGCAAACCAUGCCU
rnacentral:lncRNA from 1 species